CAUGACGCCGUAUCACAGUGGGCCACUCAUGUGCUACAAUAGGCGGGUCAAAGUCAAACCUGUCCCUGUCCGGAUUGGGCCAUGAAACGGGGCCUAUGAAGGUGGAAUAGUGAGUAAUCGGGGAUCAUACACGCUCCGGUGAAGUUGCCGGCCAAACAACCGAAUCGGGCUGCCCAGACCACACCAGUUCGGUUACGGCCGCUAUCGUGCCACAGAUCACCAUAGGCUAUAGUCGGCCGCAGUUGGCUAUGGUUUUACUAUAGUUUGCCGCGGCGGGCUGACAGCGCUCCACCCAAAUACUCCUUUCAGUUGGAUUGCAUGAUAGGAACAAGACCAUGUUGCACACAUUGCCCGUCACUGUCCGAGAUUUCGCGCGAUCAUGAAGAAUGGGGAGUUCAGUGCGCGACCCAAACCAGCGGCCGUGGAGAGAUCGGAUAAAAGUCGUAACAGGUAGGGGUUGAGGAAUCAGUUCCUGGAAUGAAUUAGA
rnacentral:rRNA from 1 species